AUUGCGUGAGGGCAGGGCAGCCAGCCAAGUGCUGAAAAACUCUUCCUCUUGGGAAGCGCUAGGCAGUGCCCCAAAAGGGGAAGCGAUCUGUGGGCUGAUCUGCUAAUGAUUUAUCCCCGGGUCUUUAGACCUGGCACCUGUGGCACCAGCUGCAGCCGGGCUGUCUGGAAAAUCUUCCCAGCGGGCAUCAGGGAGCACAAGUCGAGUGGCAAUGGGCCUUUGUGUACUCUACAGGGGUGUACUAGCAGCCCAAACGGACCAAGAUAUGAAGGAGGAGCAGGAUUGCCAAUAAGAACGUGA
rnacentral:lncRNA from 1 species